rnacentral:lncRNA from 1 species
AAAUGGAUGGAGUGAAAAAAGAAGCAAGGAUCCCCAGGAGAGAUGCAAUUUUUGUGCUUGGGUUUUGCAGCUUGAGCGAAAUUACACGAUUUUCAAGGAUCACAGUUUCCACCUCAAUUUCUCUGGGAUAGAUUGACCUUCUUGGCCCCUUUAUAAGUCUCAUGGCUUUUCUGGAGCCAUUUCUUUACUUUUGUCACAAAGGAAUUAAGGUGCUAUAGUUGCAAUAUAUUCUUUUUAUCUUGGUUUGUUUCGCCUCUUAUGGAGGUCUUUUUAAGGAUGCCUAUAUUUUUUGAAAUAAAAAGUGUAAAAAAUGAUAAUCACAAGGUAUCAAGAAGGUACCAACCAUUUAUAAUAAGUUGACAAUUGUGUAAGAGUAUCUAUGACUACCAAAUUCCUCCAUUUUAUAGAUGUCAUGCUCCAAAAUCAAGGACUUCAAAAAUCCUAUUAUUUCUUUCUUUCCAUAAAACCCAAAAGAUAGUAAGUAGAAUAAGAUUUACAACUUGUCUUUUUUUGCAUAAAUCUUCCCAAGCCCAAAAUUCAUCCCUCACCGACCCUGCAAUAACCUAGUGAAUCCCUAGCAGUUCAAUUCAUACAUCAUUGGGCACCAUAAAAAAAUAUGACUAUAGGACUCAGCAACUUGCUCGCACAUGUAGCACCCAUUUACCAUUAUUUUACCUCUCUUCAUUAUCUUAUCAAUUGUCAACAUGCACUCAUGGCUCGCCUCCCAAGUGAAAAAAGCUACCAUUGGAGGUGCCUUAAGUUUCGAACUUUGAUGAGCCAGGAAGUUAGGAAUCCCAUCAUGCUCUCUGCCUACUAAGUACUUAUAAUAAAACUCGACAGUGAAUUCCCCAUCCUGUUUAAGCUUCCAUUCAAUAUGGCCCCUAUUUUCAUUGACAUGAACCAUGGAAAGGAGUUGCAGGAACGCUUCAAAUUCUUCAAUUUCCUAGUCAUUCAGGUUCCUGGUCACAUUCACUAUCCAUUCUCUACUACCAUUAUUAUUUUUUUUUUUUGAGAUAACAUUCUCUACUACCAUUAUUAUCUCUCUAUGCGUCUUCAAUUAGUAUGUUCUUGGA